AACGAACGCUGGCGGCAUGCCUAACACAUGCAAGUCGAACGAGACCUUCGGGUCUAGUGGCGCACGGGUGCGUAACGCGUGGGAAUCUGCCCUUGGGUUCGCAAUCACAGUUGGAAACGACUGCUAAUACCGGAUGAUGACGUAAGUCCAAAGAUUUAUCGCCACAGGAUGAGCCCGCGUAGGAUUAGCUAGUUGGUGAGGUAAAGGCUCACCAUGGCGACGAUCCUUAGCUGGUCUGAGAGGAUGAUCAGCCACACUGGGACUGAGACACGGCCCAGACUCGUACGGGAGGGAGCAGUGGGGAAUAUUGGACAAUGGGCGAAAGCCUGAUCCAGCAAUGCCGGGUGAGUGAUGAAGGCCUUAGGGUUGUAAAGCUCUUUUAGCCGGGAUGAUAAUGACAGUAACGGGAGAAUAAGCACCGGCUAACUCCGUG
rnacentral:rRNA from 1 species